rnacentral:rRNA from 1 species
GCUAGUCCGCACGAGCGCACCCCUAUCCUUAUUUGCCAGCACGUAAUGGUGGGAACUCUAGGGANACUGCCGGUGAUAAACCGGAGGAAGGUGGGGACGACGUCAAGUCAUCAUGGCCCUUACGAGUAGGGCUACACACGUGCUACAAUGGCGUAUACAGAGGGUUGCAAAGCCGCGAGGUGGAGCUAAUCUCACAAAGUGCGUCGUAGUCCGGAUCGGAGUCUGCAACUCGACUCCGUGAAGUCGGAAUCGCUAGUAAUCGUGGAUCAGAAUGCCACGGUGAAUACGUUCCCGGGCCUUGUACACACCGCCCGUCACACCAUGGGAGUGGGCUGCAAAAGAAGUGGGUAGUUUAACCUUCGGGAGAACGCUCACCACUUUGUGGUUCAUGACUGGGGUGAAGUCGUAACAAGGUAGCCCUAGGGGAACCUGGGGCUGGAUCACCUCCUU